GAUGAACGCUGGCGGCGUGCCUAAUACAUGCAAGUCGAGCGAACGGACGAGAAGCUUGUUUCUCUGAUGUUAGCGGCGGACGGGUGCGUAACCCGUGGAUAACCUACCUAUAAGACUGGGAUAACUUCGGGAAACCGGAGCUAAUACCGGAUAAUAUUUUGCACCGCAUGGUUCAAUAGUGAAAGACGGUCUUGCUGUCACUUAUAGAUGGUUCCGCGCUGCAUUAGCUAGUUGGUAAGGUAACGGCUUACCAAGGCAACGAUGCAUAGCCGACCUGGGAGGGGGAUCGGCGACGCUGGGACUGAGACACGGGCCAGACUCCUACGGGAGGCAGCAGUAGGGUAUCAUCCGCAAUAGGCGAAAGCCUGACGGAGCAACGCGGCGUGAGUGAUGAAAGUCUUCGGAUGGGAAAGCUGUGUUAUUAGGGAAGAACAUAUUUGUAAGUAACUGAGCACAUCUUGACGGUACCUAAUCAGAAAGCCACGGCUAACUACGUG
rnacentral:rRNA from 1 species